rnacentral:rRNA from 1 species
UACACAUGCAAGUCGAACGAGAGAUGAGGAGCUUGCUCUUCAGAUCGAGUGGCGAACGGGUGAGUAACGCGUGAGGAACCUGCCUCAAAGAGGGGGACAACAGUUGGAAACGACUGCUAAUACCGCAUAAGCCCACGGCUCGGCAUCGAGCAGAGGGAAAAGGAGUGAUCCGCUUUGAGAUGGCCUCGCGUCCGAUUAGCUAGUUGGUGAGGUAAUGGCCCACCAAGGCGACGAUCGGUAGCCGGACUGAGAGGUUGAACGGCCACAUUGGGACUGAGACACGGCCCAGACUCCUACGGGAGGCAGCAGUGGGGAAUAUUGCACAAUGGGGGAAACCCUGAUGCAGCGACGCCGCGUGGAGGAAGAAGGUCUUCGGAUUGUAAACUCCUGUUGUUGAGGAAGAUAAUGACGGUACUCAACAAGGAAGUGACGGCUAACUACGUGCCAGCAGCCGCGGUAAAACGUAGGUCACAAGCGUUGUCCGGAAUUACUGGGUGUAAAGGGAGCGCAGGCGGGAGAACAAGUUGGAAGUGAAAUCCAUGGGCUCAACCCAUGAACUGCUUUCAAAACUGUUUUUCUUGAGUAGUGCAGAGGUAGGCGGAAUUCCCGGUGUAGCGGUGGAAUGCGUAGAUAUCGGGAGGAACACCAGUGGCGAAGGCGGCCUACUGGGCACCAACUGACGCUGAGGCUCGAAAGUGUGGGUAGCAAACAGGAUUAGAUACCCUGGUAGUCCACACCGUAAACGAUGAUUACUAGGUGUUGGAGGAUUGACCCCUUC